rnacentral:rRNA from 1 species
AUUGAACGCUGGCGGCAGGCUUAACACAUGCACGUCGAGCGAGCGGCGGACGGGUGAGUAAUGUCUGGGAAACUGCUUGAUGGAGGGGGAUAACUACUGGAAACGGUAGCUAAUACCGCAUACCAUCAGAUGUGCCCACAUGGGAUUAGUUAGUAGGUGGGGUAAUGGCUCACCUAGGCGACGAUCCAGAGCUGGUCUGAGAGGAUGACCAGCCAAACUGAAACUGAGACACGGUCCAGACGCCUACGGCAGGCAGGAGUGGGGAAUAUUGUAACAUGGGCGAAAGCCUGAUGCAGCCAUGCCGCGUGUGUGAAGAAGGCGGUCGAGUUGUAAAGCCCUUUCAGCGAGAAAGCGGUACUCACAGAAGAAGCACCGGCUAACUCCGUGCCAGCCGCCGCGGUAAUUC